GAAAGCCUGACGGAGCAACGCCGCGUGAACGAUGAAGGUCUUAGGAUCGUAAAGUUCUGUUGUUAGGGACGAAGGGUAAGAAUCAUAAUAAGGUUUUUAUUUGACGGUACCUAACGAGGAAGCCACGGCUAACUACGUGCCAGCAGCCGCGGUAAUACGUAGGCGGCAAGCGUUGUCCGGAAUUAUUGGGCGUAAAGGGAGCGCAGGCGGGAAACUAAGCGGAUCUUAAAAGUGCGGGGCUCAACCCCGUGAUGGGGUCCGAACUGGUUUUCUUGAGUGCAGGAGAGGAAAGCGGAAUUCCCAGUGUAGCGGUGAAAUGCGUAGAUAUUGGGAAGAACACCAGUGGCGAAGGCGGCUUUCUGGACUGUAACUGACGCUGAGGCUCGAAAGCUAGGGUAGCGAACGGGAUUAGAUACCCCGGUAGUCCUAGCCGUAAACGAUGGAUACUAGGUGUGGGAGGUAUCGACUCCUUC
rnacentral:rRNA from 1 species